UGUGUGUUUGUGUUUAAUAGUCUCCAUAUUUAGCUCUUUGCACUACCUGUUGACUUUUGUAUGAGUUCUACAUUUCCUGCUACCCAAAGGUUGUCUGGAAGAGAUCGCUUUUUAGCGAUAAGACCGCCUGUUGUUACCUGGUUCUAUUUUUUCUUUAAAUAUUUCUUUGUAGGUUUACAUGUAUGUAAAAUGUAUAAUUUUGGUGCAAUAAAGAAUAUUUACUUACUUACUUACUUAUACUGUUUUUUUUUAUACCACGACGGUGGCAAACAAGCAUACAGCCCGCCUGAUGGUAAGCAGUCACCGUAGUCUAUGGACGCCUGCAACACCAGAGAUAUUACAUGCGCGUUGCCAACCCUUUAAAAACCUGUACACUCCUAUUUUGAAGAACCCCAUACUGUAGCCCCUCGGGAAAACCUCGGCAGAGAGCUAAUUCCACAGCCGAAGCGUACGCGGGAGGAAAUUCCUCUUAAACCGCACAGUACGCGACCAUUUAGGUGCUAGGGUGUGAGGAUGAACGCCCUGCCGAUGGCGAGCGGUGCGGUGAUAGAAAGUGGCCGUUGGCAUCAUGCCAAACAAUUCUUCAGAGCACAGCCCAUUGUACAGGCGGUAGAACACACACAAGGAGGCAAAGUCUCUUCUUAGACUUAAAGGUUCAAUACCGUUUGUGAGUUUGGGAUCGUCGACAAUUCGUACAGCGCGCCUUUGGACCGAGUCGAAGGGUCCAAGCUGGCAUCCAGGUGCUCCUGCCCAAAGGUGACAGCAGUACUCCAUAUGGGGUCUGACUUGCGAUUUAUAUAGCAGCAGUCUUUGCCCCGGAGUAAAGUAUCGCCUCGCUUUAUUGAGCACACCGAGUUUUUUGGAUGCCAGUGCAGCCUUCCCUUCCAGGUGGCUACGGAAUUGGACGUCACUGGAGAUGUCGACACCGAGGAUCCCAAUACUCCCCGACAUUGUAAGGGCUGUGCCUUCGAACUAAGGGACCACAGUAAAUGGGGUUUUCUUAGCGGUAAACGCGCAAACUUGUAUCUUGGUGGGGUUGAAUCGCACUAAAUUGUCUCGGCCCCACACCGAAACUCUGGAUAGAGUGCUCUCAAUAUCCGACACAAGCUUUUCACGAUUCUCCAGCACCACGGAACGAGGGAUGUUGGCACGGCCUGUGUAAUAGGCAUCCCCAGUACUGUCGUCUGCAUAGCAAUGAAUGUCGUCGAUAGACAACAUGUCAUUGAUGUGCAGCAAAAACAGCGUUGGGGAUAGCACAGAACCUUGCGGAACGCCAGCGUUAAUGUCCAUGCUAUCGGAGCAGUUUCCGUCUACUACAGCUCGUAUGCGUCUGCCGGACAAAAAGCUAGCGAUCCAUUUGCAUAGUCCCUCCGGCAAUCCAUAAGAUGGUAACUUAGACAGGAGACCCCGAUACCAGACCCAAUCGAACGCCUUCGCUAUAUCUAGGCUAACUGCCAAUGCCUCACCUUGACUCUCAAU